CAAAACAACCGGCCUGAGAGAUUGGGGAGACAGCUGACGCUCGGACCAGCGAGCAAAUCAUUGCCGAGUGAUGCCAGAAGCUCUUCAGAGGCCUCCAGCCCAGUUGUCUUUGGUGAAACGUUGGCUGACAGAGCAACCAAGCAGAAGCAGCGAAGGGACCAUAUAGUGAACCAGAACCGGGGG